rnacentral:rRNA from 1 species
UACGUAGGGGGCAAGCGUUGUCCGGAUUUAUUGGGCGUAAAGAGCGUGUAGGCGGCUGGGUAGGUCCGUUGUGAAAACUCGAGGCUCAACCUCGAGACGCCGAUGGAAACCCUCCAGCUAGAGUCCGGAAGAGGAGAGUGGAAUUCCUGGUGUAGCGGUGAAAUGCGCAGAUAUCAAGGAAGAACACCCGUGGCUAAGGCGGCUCUCUAGUACGGUACUGACGCUGAGACGCGAAAGCGUGGGGAGCGAACAGG